AACCCGUAAAGGACUUGCUUCCGCAGUCUAUAUACGCAGAUAUUAUGGUGUUGGCAUUUGAUGAGCAUGAAGCUGCAAGUGGUGGAGAGGCUAGAGGAGGUACCGUCGUAGGAAGCAGCAGUACGGUACGACAUUCUGAUGCAGCCGCCACCGAUGAUAGGGAUCACGACGAUAGAGACCACGACUAUGAUGAGUGAGUAAUGUGUUAGACUUUUUAGUAACUUUUGUGGACUUUUGGAUUGUGUUAAACAUAUUAUGACCUCCUGAUUAUGUAGACUUUUGGAUUGUGUUGAACAUAUUAUGACCUCCUGAUUAUGUAUAUAUGUGAAUUGUUAAAUGUUAAUAUUGUUGGAUGUGAAUCGAUGAAUGUAAAUGUUAGUAUUGUUGGAUGUGAA